GUUUGAUCAUGGCUCAGAUUGAACGCUGGCGGGACUUUACAACACAGUCGAACAGCUGGACUUCGGUCUGGUGGCGAGUGGCGAACGGGUGGGCGUAAUGUAAUCGGAACGUGCCUAGUAGCGGGGGAUAACUACGCUGAAAGCGUAGCCUGUCUGCUGCCGCUGAGGAAGCGGGGGACCUUCGGGCCUCGCACUAUUAGAGCGGCCGAUAUCGGAUUAGCUAGUUGGUGGAGUAACGGCUCACCAAAGGCGACGAUCCGUAGCUGGUUUGAGAGGACGACCAGCCACACACUGGGACAGGACACGGCCCAGACUCCUACGGGAGGAGGCAGCAGUGGGGAAUUUUUGGACAAUGGGGGAAACCCUGAUCCAGCCAUCCCGCGUGUGCGAUGAAGGCCUUCGGGUUGUAAAGCACUUUUGGCAGGAAAGAAACGGCACGGGAUAAUACCCGUGCAACUGACGGCUCACCUGCAGAAUAAGCACCGGCUAACUACGUGCCAGCAGCCGCGGUAAUACGUAAGUGCAAGCGUUAAUCGGAAUUACUGGGCGUAAAGCGUGCCGCAGGCGGUUCGGAAAGAAAGAUGUGAAAUCCCAGAGCUUACUUUGGAACUGCAUUUUUAACUACCGAGCUAAGUGUCAGAGGGGUGGAACCGCGUGUAGUGAAAUGCGUAGAUAUACUGGAGGGAACACCGAUGGCGAAAGUACUGACGCUCAUGCACAGCGUGGGGGAGCAAACAGGAUUAGAUACCUGGUAGUCCACGCCCUAAACGAUGUCAACUGGCUGUUGGGGCCUUCGGGCCUUGGUAGCGCAGCUAACGCGUGAAGUUGACCGCCUGGGGAGUACGGUCGCAAGAUUAAAACUCAAAGGAAUUGACGGGGACGCACAAGCAGUGGAUGAUGUAGAUUAAUUCGAUGCAACGCGAAAAACCUUACCUACCCUUGACAUGUCUGGAAUCCCGAAGAGAUUUGGGAGUGCUCCUCAAGAGAACCGGAACACAGGUGCUGCAUGGCUGUCGUCAAUCGUGUGUCGUGAGAUGUUGGGUUAAGUCCGCAACGAGCGCAACCCUUGUCGUGUAGUUGCUACGAAAGGGCACUCUAAUGAGACUGCCGGUGACAAACCGGAGGAAGGUGGGGAUGACGUCAAGUCCUCAUGGCCCUUAUGGGUAGGGCUUCACAUCAUACAAUGGUCAGGACAGAGGGUCGCCAACCCGCGAAGGGAGCCAAUCUGACCCGAUCGUAGUCCGGAUCGCAGUCUGCAACUCGACUGCGUGAAGUCAGAUCGCUAAGUAAUCGCGGAUCAGCAUGUCGCGGUGAAUACGUUCCCGGGUCUUUGUACACACCGCCCGUCACACCAUGGGAGUGGGUUUUACCAGAAGUAGUUAGCCUAACCGUAAGGAGGGCGAUUACCACGGUGUAGGAUUCAUGACUGGUGAAGUCGUAACAAGGUAG
rnacentral:rRNA from 1 species